GACGAACGCUGGCGGCGUGCUUAACACAUGCAAGUCGAACGGAAAGGCCCUGCGUUUGUGGGGUUCUCGAGUGGCGAACGGGUGAGUAACACGUGAGUAACCUGCCCUUGACUUUGGGAUAACUUCAGGAAACUGGGGCUAAUACCGGAUAGGAUCUCCUGCUGCAUGGUGGGGGUUGGAAAGUUUCGGCGGUUGGGGAUGGACUCGCGGCUUAUCAGCUUGUUGGUGGGGUAGUGGCUUACCAAGGCUUUGACGGGUAGCCGGCCUGGGAGGGUGACCGGCCACAUUGGGACUGAGAUACGGCCCAGACUCCUACGGGAGGCAGCAGUGGGGAAUAUUGCACAAUGGGCGGAAGCCUGAUGCAGCAACGCCGCGUGCGGGAUGACGGCCUUCGGGUUGUAAACCGCUUUCGCCUGUGACGAAGCGUGAGUGACGGUAAUGGGUAAAGAAGCACCGGCUAACUACGUG
rnacentral:rRNA from 1 species